AUUGAACGCUGGCGGAAUGCUUUACACAUGCAAGUCGGGCGGCAGCGCGGGGGCAACCCUGGCGGCGAGCGGCGAACGGGUGAGUAACACAUCGGAACGUACCCUGUCGUGGGGGAUAACGAAUCGAAAGAUUCGCUAAUACCGCAUACGACCUGAGGGUGAAAGCGGGGGAUCGCAAGACCUCGCGCGAGAGGAGCGGCCGAUGGCGGAUUAGCUAGUUGGUGGGGUAAAGGCCCACCAAGGCGACGAUCCGUAGCGGGUCUGAGAGGACGGCCCGCCACACUGGGACUGAGACACGGCCCAGACUCCUACGGGAGGCAGCAGUGGGGAAUUUUGGACAAUGGGGGCAACCCUGAUCCAGCCAUUCCGCGUGAGUGAAGAAGGCCUUCGGGUCGUAAAGCUCUUUCGGCAGGAACGAAACGGCGGGCUCUAACAUAGCCUGUCAAUGACGGUACCUGAAGAAGAAGCACCGGCUAACUACGUG
rnacentral:rRNA from 1 species